rnacentral:piRNA from 1 species
UCUCCAUCCUGAUGUUCUUAAGUUUCCAGU